rnacentral:lncRNA from 12 species
CUGUGCCAAAAAUCUUACCUUUCUUUUAUCACAAAAUAAAACACAAGACUAGACUAAAAUAUUUUCAUUUGGAAGAAACCUACAAUUAUCUAGUUCAAAUGCCU